rnacentral:lncRNA from 1 species
AGCAGCAGGCAAUGCAGGACUGGCUGUGCUGCCACAGUGAGUGCUGGGGACAUGGCUUCUGCCCACCUGAAGCCCUCCGUGGAGCUCUGGGUGCUGCAGGCUUGAGAACUUCAUCUCACAGUGUGACAGCAUGGGAAGGUCAGCUCUGAGCAGCUUCCAGCACCAGGAUGGAAAGCAAGGAUGGGUCAGUUCCCUCGGUGGCUGCCUUCACACAUGGAGCCUUGGGGAUGCUCUAGGAGUGGGCUCAGAGCAACGUUGAAGACAGAUAAGAUGCUCCAUAGGAACUGAAGAAUAGAACAAUGCUUUGAUAGUCUUCACUGCCAAAGAAUCACCUGAGUUGGAAGAGACCUCUGAAGGCCAUCUGGUCCCACUCUCUGCAGUGCACAGGGCACCCACAGCUCCAUCACAGCUCACAGCCCAUCCCCUG